CUUAUCCAGAGCGGCGGAGGGACUGGCCCUAUGAAGCCCGGCAACCGGCGAACCAUCGCAAGGUGCCAAUUCCAGCAGCGUGCAAACGCUGGCAGAUAAG
rnacentral:ncRNA from 1 species